ACAACUGCAUUACUUUAGUGGAGGUUUCUAGCUAAAAGAAGAAUUUUACAGGACUUAUCAGUACAGAGUAGAGAAAAACAGACAGGAGAAGGGCA